rnacentral:rRNA from 1 species
AGUGAACGCUGGCGAUAGGCCUAACACAUGCAAGUCGAACGGCAGCACAGUAAGAGCUUGCUCUUACGGGUGGCGAGUGGCGGACGGGUGAGGAAUACAUCGGAAUCUACUUUUUCGUGGGGGAUAACGUAGGGAAACUUACGCUAAUACCGCAUACGACCUACGGGUGAAAGCAGGGGAUCUUCGGACCUUGCGCGAUUGAAUGAGCCGAUGUCGGAUUAGCUAGUUGGCGGGGUAAAGGCCCACCAAGGCGACGAUCCGUAGCUGGUCUGAGAGGAUGAUCAGCCACACUGGAACUGAGACACGGUCCAGACUCCUACGGGAGGCAGCAGUGGGGAAUAUUGGACAAAGGGCGCAAGCCUGAUCCAGCCAUACCGCGUGGGUGAAGAAGGCCUUCGGGUUGUAAAGCCCUUUUGUUGGCAAAGAAAAGCAGCAGGUUAAUACCCCGCUGUUCUGACGGUACCCAAAGAAUAAGCACCGGCUAACUUCGUG